UACUAGGAAAAUAAAAUAUAAACGGUCUAUAGAUCAACGUUCAUUUCUGGUUAGGUGUUCAGCGAUGUUUCUCUUAUGAAGAAGAUGAAAUGGUGGUUAAAACGCGUAAACCUGUGAAUUAUUCCGCUUGCACUCUCUACUCUACUGAUCAUGCCUAGGUAGUUCUCAAGAGAUACAGUUUUAGAAGAUUGAGUUGACUCAAGUUUAUCUGGAGUUCCAUCUUGACUUCUAACAAAAUGUUGAGGAACACGGAAAUAAUAAAAUGAGUAGAGUAAUUCAUAUAUCCCCAGUUUUGUUCCUUCGAAGAAUUAUUAUUAAAAGGCCAAUUAAAGUCUUGGUCCAGUUUCAAUGAACUAUCUAGCGCCAACAUAAUGGUAAAUUAAUAGACUAGAAGACAUCACAGAUAUAUUGACAAGAUGGUCGAGCUUCAUAAU
rnacentral:lncRNA from 1 species